UACGAAGGGGACUAGCGUUGUUCGGAUUUAUUGGGCGUAAAGAGCGUGUAGGCGGCCAGGUAGGUCAGCUGUGAAAACUCGAGGCUCAACCUCGAGCUGUCGGCUGAAACCAUCUGGCUAGAGUCCGGAAGAGGAGAAUGGAAUUCCCGGUGUAGCGGUGAAAUGCGCAGAUAUCGGGAAGAACACCCGUGGCGAAGGCGGUUCUCUGGGACGGUACUGACGCUGAGACGCGAAAGCGUGGGGAGCGAACAGG
rnacentral:rRNA from 1 species